AGAGUUUGAUCCUGGCUCAGGACGAACGCUGGCGGCGUGCUUAACACAUGCAAGUCGAACGGAAAGGCCCCUUCGGGGGUGCUCGAGUGGCGAACGGGUGAGUAACACGUGGGUGAUCUGCCCUGCACUUUGGGAUAAGCCUGGGAAACUGGGUCUAAUACCGGAUAGGACUACGGGAUGCAUGUCCUGUGGUGGAAAGCGUUUGCGGUGUGGGAUGGGCCCGCGGCCUAUCAGCUUGUUGGUGGGGUGAUGGCCUACCAAGGCGACGACGGGUAGCCGGCCUGAGAGGGUGUCCGGCCACACUGGGACUGAGAUACGGCCCAGACUCCUACGGGAGGCAGCAGUGGGGAAUAUUGCACAAUGGGCGCAAGCCUGAUGCAGCGACGCCGCGUGGGGGGUGACGGCCUUCGGGUUGUAAACCUCUUUCAGUCACGACGAAGCGCAAGUGACGGUAGUGACAGAAGAAGCACCGGCCAACUACGUGCCAGCAGCCGCGGUAAU
rnacentral:rRNA from 1 species